AUUUGUUUUUGUUGCCACGUCCAUAAUUCGUAUCACAACAUCUUCGAUUUCCGUCUGCGAUGAGCAACUUAAGAAGCUACUGAAGGUGCGUGAUGUUGCCCUCGCAGCAACCAGGACAUGCCACCUUCUCCUUAGACAGGUAGAGCAUGGGCUGGAUGCUACUGCUGAAGUCCAUCAGACCAAAGGCAACGUAAUGGAUGUAACAGCGGAAGACAUCGGGCGAGAAGUAGUCCUGGAAGGGGAACAGCGCCACCGGUGGGAAGUAGUUGAAGACGAUGAUGGCAAGGAUGAUGAGCACCAUCUUGAAGGCUCGCUUCUUCACCGGGUGCAUCUCGUCUCGGCCGGGCCCGGAUUGGCGCAGCACCCAUAGGAUGGCGAUGUUGCAGAACACCAUGAAGGCAAAGGCGGUCAGGAUCAUGGCGGUGAAAACCUUACCAAAUAAAUUUAGAAGACAUUCAUUCAGCAAAUGUAUCCCCUAGGGAUUAAUAAUGGAUCUCAUAUUUGAUAUAUACUACGUAAGACCUUCUCAAAGUUGACGAUGUUGCCCACACACUUGGCGGCGGCGUAGGCCAGCGUGAUGAGCCACACCAGCAUGGCCAGGCCGGCCCGGUGUUGACGGUCUUUGAGUUCAGUGAAGGUGAUGGGGUGCACCACCGCCACGUAGCGGUCCAGGCAGAUGCAGGAGAGGAAGAGCGGCGACGAGUCCUUCAUGCCGUAGAAGAAGCGCAACACGUACCAGGUGCUGCUGGUGGUGAGAAACACAAUAUUGGCCAGCUCCAGCGGUGGGAUGAGACAGAAGAGCACAUCCAGAAUGGCCAAGUGAAGGAUGAAGAUGUCCGACGUGGACGAAUCGCCCUUGUUCUUGUGGAUGAGCCACAGGACCAUGAUGUUGGCCGGGAUGCCCAGGAACAUAUUGACAAACUGCAGGCCAAGAUACCAGAUGAGCACGGCCGGCAUGUCGCGGCAGCCCUCGUACACCGUCUGCUCCCGCGGCGUGGCGUUGACGGGCCGCUGGGAGAUGAACAGCGCCGACGAGUUGAGGAAGAGAAAAUUCAUGGCGGGGAGUAGGACUGAGUGAUUAUGGGGAAAAAAUAAUAAUCACAAUUAUUUUGAUUGAUAUUGAAAUCACCAUUCCUAAACAGGACUAUUCAUUAAUUUCAAGACUUAGCAUUCA